GCCAGGUGUGGUGGCUCACACCUGUAAUCCCAGCACUUUGGGAGGCUGAGGUGGGCGGAUCACCUGAGGUCAGGAGUUUGAGACCAGCCUGGCCAACAUGGUGAAACCCCGUCUCUA
rnacentral:sRNA from 1 species